rnacentral:rRNA from 1 species
UAAGCAUAUCAAUAAGCGGAGGAAAAGAAACCAACAGGGAUUGCCCCAGUAACGGCGAGUGAAGCGGCAACAGCUCAAAUUUGAAAUCUGGCCCUCGGGUCCGAGUUGUAAUUUGUAGAGGAUGCUUUUGGCGAGGUGCCUUCCGAGUUCCCUGGAACGGGACGCCAUAGAGGGUGAGAGCCCCGUCUGGUCGGACACCGAGCCUCUGUAAAGCUCCUUCGACGAGUCGAGUAGUUUGGGAAUGCUGCUCAAAAUGGGAGGUAUAUGUCUUCUAAAGCUAAAUAUUGGCCAGAGACCGAUAGCGCACAAGUAGAGUGAUCGAAAGAUGAAAAGCACUUUGAAAAGAGGGUUAAAAAGUACGUGAAAUUGUUGAAAGGGAAGCGCUUAUGACCAGACUUGCGCCCGGUGAAUCAUCCAGCGUUCUCGCUGGUGCACUUUGCCGGGCACAGGCCAGCAUCAGUUUGGCGCGGGGGAAAAAGGCUUCGGGAAUGUGGCUCCCUCGGGAGUGUUAUAGCCCGCUGCGUAAUACCCUGCGCCGGACUGAGGUACGCGCAUCGCAAGGAUGCUGGCGUAAUGGUCAUCAGCGACCCGUCUUGAAACACGGACCAAGGAGUCGUCUUCGUAUGCGAGUGUUCGGGUGUCAAACCCCUACGCGUAAUGAAAGUGAACGUAGGUGAGAGCUUCGGCGCAUCAUCGACCGAUCCUGAUGUUCUCGGAUGGAUUUGAGUAAGAGCAUACGGGGCCGGACCCGAAAGAAGGUGAACUAUGCCUGUAUAGGGUGAAGCCAGAGGAAACUCUGGUGGAGGCUCGCAGCGGUUCUGACGUGCGAAUCGAUCGUCAAAUAUGGGCAUGGGGGCGAAAGACUAAUCGAACCUUCUAGUAGCUGGUUUCCGCCGAAG